UACAGAGGUCCCAAGCGUUGUUCGGAUUCACUGGGCGUAAAGGGUGCGUAGGUGGCCAGGUAAGUUCGGUGUGAAAGCUCGGAGCUCAACUCCGAAAUGUCAUUGAAUACUAUCUGGCUGGAGGGUCGGAGGGGAGACUGGAAUUCUCGGUGUAGCAGUGAAAUGCGUAGAUAUCGAGAGGAACACCAGUGGCGAAGGCGAGUCUCUGGACGACUCCUGACACUGAGGCACGAAAGCUAGGGGCAGCAAACAGG
rnacentral:rRNA from 1 species